UACGGGGGGAGCAAGCGUUGUUCGGAUUUACUGGGCGUAAAGGGCGCGUAGGCGGCGCAACAAGUCACUUGUGAAAUCUCCGGGCUUAACCCGGAGCGGUCAAGUGAUACUGUCGUGCUAGAGUGCGGAAGGGGCUACUGGAAUUCUCGGUGGUAGCGGUGAAAUGCGUAGAUAUCGGAGAGGGAACACCGUGCGGCGAAGGCGGGUAGCUGGGCCGACACUGACGCUGAUGCGCGAAAGCCAGGGGAGCGAACGGG
rnacentral:rRNA from 1 species